rnacentral:lncRNA from 1 species
GGGAAGGUGAAUAUUUAUACAUAUGGUGGACAAGGUUAUGGGAGGAAUAUUGGGUUUGAUACUUAAUCAACCCAUGUAUAAGAUGGGAGGAAAUAUCAAAAGUACAAAAGAAACAAUUUAAAUACAAACCUGUUUCGAACAACAGCAGUUGGGCAACUUUGAAAAAUUACCAUAAAUGGUGGAAAAUGAAUUGGAGGUUGAAUAAUAUAUGAAAUUAAAUCUGAGUGAGUCUAUUUCCAUAUGAAAGAAACAAAAUAAGCAAAAGAGUUGUAUAUUUGGGGAUAUUUGGAUUUAUUUGAGACAGGGCUGGAUUGAUUUCGGAAUCCCCUGUUCCAACUUUGGAAAAUCACCAAAAAUUGUAUAAAAAUAAUUAUGGCUUGAAAUUUAUAUGUCUGGAUUCCUUAAUGAGUCUAUUUUUAAUAUAAAUAAAUGAUAACAUUGUUUGAAAUUUGUACAGGGAGUUAAGUAAAUUUUAGUAAAGGGAGGUUAGAGUUGUCAGGCAGUGAAACAAGGGAAAAUUUAAAGAAUAAACUGUACUAAUUGGCUAAACCAAAAAUUCUGAAAAUUUUAUGGUGGAAAGGUACAUGAGUCUAGUUUCUGGGAAAAUUCAUGGAAUUCAAUUUGGAGUCUUGUAGCUCCAGAUAAAUUUAAAUUAGUUACUAUGAUGCAGAAAAACAAUUUGUUGGAAAUUGAACAAACAAUGAAAUUUAUUUGUGAUUAAAAUUAUACUAUGGUGUAACCUUGUGAGAAAUUCAUUUAUCUGUCAUAUGUUUACUUACUAAGCUGUAUGUUUACUCGUUUUUAUUUUCCCCUUGAUUAUAGUGACAUCAAUCAACUCGAAACUUGGGCGGAGUCAGAUAAUCAUCUACACUAUCAUCAACGUUUGGGUAUUUUGCAACUCAUAUUUUGGAAACAUGGCAUGUAUAGACGACUUUAUGUAUUAUGGCGUAAACAAAUAUAUAGUGUGUUUCGGUUUAAAAUGUUGAUGGUUAUUAUUAGACAAAUUGAGUAUGAUCAUACAACUGUUUUUGGUUGGAUUAUUGGAUUUGUUUGAAAGUGUGAUUGAAAACUUGCAGGGGGUUGUAUGUAAAAAUAAGCAGAAAUGCUGUCGAAAUUUUUUUAAAAAAAAUAAAAUUAGUAAUACCUCAUACUCUGUUUCGUUAAGGAAUACGGGUAAGGGGUGUUACAUUUUAGUGGUAUCAGAGCUACGGUUUAGUCGGUUCUCGGACAAAUAAAAUAUGUGUGAAAGUCAGCCUAUACAUGCCAUAAAUAUAUUGUGAUAGUGUGAUGAUUUCUAACAAUUUAAAAUUUUGUUUUAUAUAGUAAAUGGAUCCUGACCGAAGUAUGGCAGAUGAUGUUGAAAGUAACGUGCCGGCUUCCGCACAAGGGACAGCGCAUGAAGAGAGUAGACAUGAGACACAUAGCCAGGAUGAGGCUCGGGAAGCCUUCCUUCGGAUGAUGAGUGAUUGGUAUACAGAAUAUGUUCGUGCAAAUCCGAAUGUUCCACCUCCUCCACCUCCUCCACCCCCUCCUAUUCCUCAACCGGUCCCCGUAACUCCACAAAGUGUUGGGUUGGUAAGAUCAAGUAAACCACCAGUUGAUAGAAUUCGAAAGCAUGAGGCUGAAGAUUUUAGGGCUAAUGUUAAUGAUGAUCCGGAAAAAGUAGAGUUUUGGCUUGAAAAUACUAUCCGAGUAUUUGAUGAAUUAUCCUGUACUCCUAAGGAAUGUUUGAAAUGUGCUGUGUCUUUACUGAAGGAUUCAGCAUACCGUUGGUGGAAAACAUUAAUAUCGGUGGUUUCGAAAGAAAGAGUUACUUGGGACUUCUUCUAGGAGGAAUUCAGGAAAAAAUAUAUAAGCCAACGGUUUAUUGAUCAGAAACGCAAGGAGUUUCUCGAAUUGAAACAGGGCCGAAGGUCAGUGGCAGAAUAUGAACAGGAGUUUGUUAGGCUCAGCAAAUAUGCCCAGGAAUGUGUGCCCACAGAGGCUAUUAUGUGUAAAAGAUUCGAAGAGGGGUUAAACGAAGAUAUCAGAUUGCAUGUUGGAGUUUUAGAGUUAAAAGAAUUUGUAGUAUUGGUUGAUCGAGCCUGUAAGGCUGAAGAACUGAGUAACGAAAAGAGAAGAGCGGAGAUGGAAGCUCGAGAUGUAAGAAAAAGGUCAAUGAGCAGGACCUUUCAAUCUAAACCGAAUAAGUUUAAAGGGAUGGAUCCACGACCAACUGGUUCAUCUGGGUAUUCACGUAGAGAUCGAGGGAAAUCAUAUUGUGGAGCUAAAACUCAAGCUACCUCAGUGGCUAGUGCGGGCAGUGUGGGGAAUACCAGACCUGAGUGUCAACAGUGUGGCAGGCGACAUGCUGGUGAGUGUUGGGGAUUUAAACGAGCUUGCUUCAGAUGUGGUUCUCAAGAGCACUAUAUAAAAGAUUUCCCUGAGAGAAUAGAGGAAGAAAGAUUACAAAGAGCUGGAUCGGGUGAUAUUGUUGGUAGAGGUAGACCACCGAGGAAUGUUGGAAGCAAAGCUAGUGGUAAAAGUGUAGUAAAAGAUACAGCUGGGAGAUCAGAAACUAGAGCGCCUGCCAGAACUUAUGCCAUACGUGCUCGUGAGGAUGCAUCAUCUCCCGACGUGAUUACUGGUACAUUUUCUCUUCAUGAUAUUGAUGUUGUUGCUUUGAUUGACCCUGGUUCUACUCAUUCAUAUGUAUGUGUAAAUUUGGUAUCUAGUAAGAAAUUGCCCGUUGAAAAUACUGAAUUUGCAGUUAAAGUAUCAAAUCAUUUAGGCAAGUAUGUCUUAGUCGAUAAGAUUUGCAAGAAUUGUCCUUUGAUGAUUCGAGGUCACUGUUUUCCGGCUAAUUUGAUGUUGUUACCAUUUGAUGAGUUUGAUGUUAUUUUGGGGAUGGAUUGGUUGAUAUUGCAUGAUGCCAAGGUAAAUUGUAGAUAGAAAAUUCUAGAACUAAAAUGUGAAAAUGGUGAAAUUCUCUGGGUUGAAGCAGAGGAGUCGAAUAAAUUGCCUAUGGUGAUUUCGCACAUGUCUGCUCAGAAAUACUUGAGAAAAUGAUGUGAAGCCUAUAUUGCUUAUGUGUUGAAUACUGGUAUAACUGGGUCGAAGCUUGAAUGAGUGCCGGUAGUUUGUGAAUUUCCAGACGUAUUUCCAGAGGAGCUGCCUGGGUUACCUCCGAUUAGAGAAGUUGAGUUUGCUAUUGACUUGUUACCGGAUACUACACCGAUUUCUAUUGCUCUAUAUCGGAUGACUCCGACUAAAUUGAAAGAAUUAAAAGCUCAGCUACAAGAAUUGACAGAUAAAGAAUUUGUGAGGCCAAGUUUUUCUCCUUGGGGUGCUCCUGUGCUAUUCGUGAAAAAGAAUGACGGCUCUAUGAGACUUUGUAUUGACUAUCGUCAGCUCAACAAAGUGACUAUAAAGAACAAGUAUCCUUUGCCGAGAAUUGAUGAUUUGUUUGACCAAUUAAAAGGGGCAACUGUGUUUUCAAAGAUCGAUCUGAGGUCUGGUUACUAUCAGUUGAGAGUUAAAGAGUCCGAUGUGCAAAAAACCGCUUUUAGAACGAGGUAUGGACACUAUGAAUUUCUGGUAAUGCCUUUUGGGUUGACUAAUGCUCCGGCUAUUUUUAUGGAUUUAAUGAACCGAAUUUUUCGGCCGUAUCUGGAUAAAUUUGUGGUCGUGUUCAUAGAUGAUAUUUUAAUUUAUUCACGGGAUGAAUCCGAGCAUGCAGAACAUUUGAGGACUGUGUUGCAGAUUCUGAGAGAAAAGAAAUUGUAUGCUAAAUUCAGCAAAAGUGAGUUUUGGCUUCGUGAGGUUGGAUUCUUGGGACAUAUAGUUUCAAGUGAAGGUAUUCGGGUUGAUCCAAGCAAAAUUUUAGUAAUUGUUGAUUGGGAACCACCAAAGAAUGUAUCCGAAGUUAGAAGCUUUCUGGGCUUAGCCGGGUAUUAUAGAUGCUUUGUCAAGGGAUUUUCGAUGAUUGCUUCUCCUAUGACUAAGUUACUACAGAAGAAUGUCAAGUUUGAAUGGACCGAUAAAUGUCAGCAAAGUUUCGAGAAAUUGAAGGCAUUGUUGACUGAGGCGCCAGUGUUGGUGCAACCUGAGUCAGGGAAGGAGUUUGUAAUUUACAGUGAUGCAUCGUUGAAUGGUCUUGGGUGUGUGUUAAUGCAAGAGGGCAAAGUAAUAGCUUAUGCUUCAAGACAGCUGAAACCGCAUGAGAAGAAUUAUCCAACGCAUGAUUUAGAAUUGGAUGCUAUUGUUUUUGCUUUAAAAAUUUGGCGUCAUUAUUUGUAUGGUGAAAAGUGUCGAAUCUUCACUGAUCAUAAGAGCUUGAAGUAUUUAAUGAGACAAAAAGACUUGAAUUUGCGGCAACGAAGAUGGCUCGAACUAAUUAAAGACUAUGAAUUAGUGAUUGAUUAUCACCCCGGGAAAGCUAAUGUGGUUGCUGAUGCCUUGAGCAGAAAAUCUUUAUUUGCUUUGAGAGCUAUGAGUACGAGAUUAACUUUAUCGGAUGAUGGUUCAAUUUUGGCUGAAAUGAGAGCUAGACCGUUAUUUCUUCAACAAAUUCAGGAAGCUCAAAAGAAUGAUAGUAAAUUGCAAGCAAGGAGAGCUCAAUGUGAAGUAGGUGUUGACUCAGAUUUUCAAAUUGGUUCAGAUGAUUGCCUGAUGUUCCGGGAUAGAGUAUGUAUACCGAGAAAUGAUGAGUUAAUUCAGACCAUUUUAUGUGAGGCACAUAGUGGUGAUUUGUCAGUUCACCCAGGUAGUGUGAAAAUGUAUAAUGAUUUGAAGAAAUUGUAUUGGUGGCCGGGCAUGAAAAAGGAUAUCUCGGAAUUUGUAUCAAAGUGUUUAAUUUGUCAACAAGUGAAAGCUGAGCAUCAAGUACCAUCGGGUUUACUUCAGCUGGUAAUGAUCCCUGAGUGGAAGUGGGACAGUAUCACGAUGGAUUUUGUGACAGGAUUGCCUUUAACUCCAAAGAAGAAAGAUGCUAUUUGGGUAAUUGUUGAUAGACUGACAAAGCCAGCCCAUUUCAUUCCAGUACGCAUUGAUUACUCACUGGACAGGUUGGCGGAGUUAUAUGUUGCUGAAAUAGUGAGAUUACAUGGGGUGCCUAAAUCUAUUAUAUCGGAUAGAGAUUCGAGGUUUACAUCGAGGUUUUGGAUAAAAUUGCAGGAAGCCUUGGGUACGAAAUUGAACUAUAGUACUGCGUUCCAUCCGCAAACUGACGGGCAAUCAAAAAGAGUAAUUCAAGUUCUUGAAAACAUGCUCCGGUGUUGUAUUUUAGAAUUUGAAGGCAGUUGGGAACAAUAUCUACCAUUGGUUGAAUUUGCUUAUAACAACAGCUAUCAGUCAAGUAUACGAAUGGCACCGUAUGAAGCAUUAUAUGGGCGUAAAUGUAGAACUCCUUUAUAUUGGACUAAACUCGGUGAAAACCAAAUUCAUGAAGUUGAUUUGGUGAAAGAAACCGAAGAAAAAGUGAAAAUAAUCCGUGACUGUUUAAAAGCUGCUUCAGAUCGGCAAAAGUCAUAUGCGGAUUUAAAGAGGAAAGAAAUUGAGUUUCAAGUGGGUGAUAAAGUGUUCUUGAAAGUAUCUCCAUGGAACAAGAUUCUGAGAUUUGGGCGUAAAGGCAAAUUGAGUCCACGAUUUAUUGGACCGUAUGAAGUUAUUGAAAGAAUUGGACCUGUAGCUUAUCGGUUAGCUUUACCGGCAGAGUUGGAAAGGAUACUUAAUGUAUUUCAUGUAUCGAUGUUGCGACGUUAUCGUUCGGAUCCUUCACAUAUAGUUUCUCCUACAGAGAUUGAAGUUCGACCGGAUAUGACUUAUGAGGAGGAACCAAUAAAGAUUCUGGCUCGAGAAGUCAAAAAGUUAAGGAAUAAAAGUGUAGCCUUAGUGAAAGUGUUGUGGCAAAAACAUGGAAUGGAAGAGGCUACGUGGGAACCGGAAGAAGUUAUGAGGAAACAGUACCCAAACCUCUUUUCUGGUAAGAUUUUUGGGGACGAAAAUCCCUAAGGGGAGAGAAUUGUAACAUCCCGACUCUGGGCCUAGUCGGAACAGUGGUUUCGGGACCACAAAUCCGACGAGGGAAAAUAUGGUUAUUAUUAUAUUUUCAUGGUCCACAAUUUCACGAAAAAUUUUUGUAAAAAUUUCGUUCGAAAAUUUCGACGUUUGGGCACUCAAUUUAGUCAAAAGGACUAAAUUGUAAAAAGUGCAAAAGUUGAGUUCUACAUCUUAGAGGUAUCUAAUUGUUAUGAAAUUUUAAAUUGGAGGUCUUUAUGUGGUAAUUAGACCAUUAGUUAGUUGAUGGACAAAAAGGGCAUAGAAUUAGUGAAAUAGAUUUUUUUAAGUAAGGACAUUUUAGUCAUUUGGUAAUUAAAUAGAAUUAAAUGGGAAAAAGAUGGCAAAAUAUGCUCAUCUUCUUCAUGGUGAACGAAAUCAGCAAGGGGGAAGCCAUAUUUAGGGUUUUCAAGCUUCCAAGCUCCAUAGUAAGUGAUCCCAAGCCACGCUUUUAAUGUUCUUUACGUUUUUGGAGUCCCGGUAGCUUAAUUUAGCUUAUUCUAGCAAUAAUUCGUGCUAGGGUUCAUAUUUGGAAAAAUACCCAUAGGUGAAAUGUGUUUAUUUUGCUGUUUUAUGGUGGAAUAUGAAGCUAGAAAUUAUGUUAAACAACUUUUGCUAAGCGAUUUUAAACGAAAACGGGUAAAUAGACAUAAUCGGUAAAAAUACCUAAUGUUCAAAAGUGUGUGUUAGAGUAAGAAUUUGAUGUUGUCAUAGAAGGGAAAAAUGUUCAACAUGUCAUAAAACAUAAGAAUAAGAGAUGAAGUUUAAUUUCCGAGCUUAGGGAUGAAAAUGUAAAUAUGCAAAAGUUUGGGGGCAAAAUUGUAAUUUUUCAAAAAGUUGGAUGGAGGAUUAUUUUAAUAAAUGUGAACAUUAAAUGAGUUAAAUUUGUUAUUAUAGAUCAAGAAAGACGAGAAGAAUACCUUAAACGGCGAAAAGAGAAAGUAGUGGAGUAAAUUGCAAAAUUACGAUAUUUUGCACUGAGGUAAGUAAACAUGUGAAAUAAUGCAUUAUUUUGAUAUUAUUUGAUAUGUGUUGAGAUUUAUUUGAACAUAGAAUAAAUAUUUGGCAAAGAUUCAAAAAAAAAGUGGCUAAGUGGGGAAAGGUGGUAAAGUGUUGAAAAACACGGUUUCCGGUUGAACACUCGAAAUAGGCCGGAUUACAGUGAAUAAAAAGGGGUUGCUAAGUGCUGAUUCUCCCGAGGGGUUGCUAAGUGCUGAUUCCCCUAUUCAUUGGUGGUUUCUAAGUGCUGAUUCCACCGUAUCUUAAAUGUGAAGGGAGUUGCUAAGUGCUGAUUCCCCCAAGGGGUUGCUAAGUGCUGAUUCCCCGACUCAUUGGUGGUUGCUAAGUGCUGAUUCCACCGUAUCUUAAAUGUGAAGGGGGUUGCUAAGUGUUGAUUCCCCCGAGAGGUUGCUAAGUGUUGAUUCCCCGAAUUAUUGGUGGUUGCUAAGUGCUGAACCCACCGUAUCUUAAAUGUGAAAGGGGUUGCUAAGUGCUGAUUCCCCGACUUAUUAGUAGUUGCUAAGUGUUGAAUCCACCGAUAACGGUUAACAUUCCGAGUGUUCAACGAGUAAAUUGGGAAGGUGAAUAUUUAUACAUAUGGUGGACAAGGUUAUGGGAGGAAUAUUGGGUUUGAUACUUAAUCAACCCAUGUAUAAGAUGGGAGGAAAUAUCAAAAGUACAAAAGAAACAAUUUAAAUACAAACCUGUUUCGAACAACAGCAGUUGGGCAACUUUGAAAAAUUACCAUAAAUGGUGGAAAAUGAAUUGGAGGUUGAAUAAUAUAU